GAUGAACGCUAGCGGCAGGCCUAAUACAUGCAAGUCGAACGAUACUUUCCAGCUUGCUGGAGAGGAAAGUGGCGCACGGGUGCGUAACGCGUAUGCAACCUACCUUAAUCAGGGGGAUAGCCCGAAGAAAUUCGGAUUAACACCGCAUAAAAUCACAGCACAGCAUUGUGCAAUGAUCAAAUAUUUAUAGGAUUAAGAUGGGCAUGCGUGACAUUAGUUAGUUGGCGGGGUAACGGCCCACCAAGACCACGAUGUCUAGGGGACCUGAGAGGAUGACCCCCCACACUGGUACUGAGACACGGACCAGACUCCUACGGGAGGCAGCAGUAAGGAAUAUUGGUCAAUGGAGGCAACUCUGAACCAGCCAUGCCGCGUGCAGGAAGACAGCCCUCUGGGUCGUAAACUGCUUUUAUUCGGGAAUAAACCUACUUACGUGUAAGUAGCUGAAUGUACCGAAGGAAUAAGGAUCGGCUAACUCCGUGCCAGCCGCCGCCGUAA
rnacentral:rRNA from 1 species